UUCAAUACACCAGGAUCUGGUUUGAGAAAUUAACAACCAUAACAUAAAAGAGAGACUACUAUUCAAAGAAUACGUAUUGAGUGCUUGCUUCGGCAGCACAUAAACUAAAAUUGGAACGAUGCAGAGGAGAUUAGCAUGGCCCCUGUGCAAGGAUGACACACAAAUUCAUGAAGCUUUCCAUAUUUUUUGGAAGCCAAUUUGACAAUAAAUUAUAUUUUAAAAAAUGAAUAAAUAAAUAAAACAAAAAAACAAAGAAAAUAUAUUGAGCACAAUACUUGGAGUAAUGCCUGGCCACAGUAAGGUUUCUAAAUAAAUACUCUACAAGCACUAACUUCUCUAUCUCACGAUAAACUUAGGAAGUAUACCCCCAUUUUAAUGACAAAGGAACCGAGGCUUAGAGAGUUUCACAUAAUUCCACAGUGAAGAUUCUACUAGAACAAACUGCAUAGAUCCUUAUAUAAAACAUACAGUUAGGGUCCUAGGGAAACACAUA